UACGUAGGGUGCAAGCGUUAAUCGGAAUUACUGGGCGUAAAGCGUGCGCAGGCGGUUGUGCAAGACAGAUGUGAAAUCCCCGGGCUUAACCUGGGAAUUGCAUUUGUGACUGCACGGCUAGAGUGUGUCAGAGGGGGGUAGAAUUCCACGUGUAGCAGUGAAAUGCGUAGAUAUGUGGAGGAAUACCGAUGGCGAAGGCAGCCCCCUGGGAUAACACUGACGCUCAUGCACGAAAGCGUGGGGAGCAAACACGG
rnacentral:rRNA from 1 species